CCUACGGGCGGCUGCAGUGAGGAAUCUUGCGCAAUGGGGGCAACCCUGACGCAGCAACGCCGCGUGAGUGAGGAAGGCCUUCGGGUCGUAAAGCUCUGUCGGAUGGAAAGAAACGGAUGCGGGUUAAUAGCCUUCAUCCCUGACGGUACCAUCAGAGGAAGCACCGGCUAACUCCGUGCCAGCAGCCGCGGUAAUACGGGGGGUGCAAGCGUUGUUCGGAAUCAUUGGGCGUAAAGCGCGUGUAGGCGGCUUGGUAAGUCAGGUGUGAAAGCCCUGGGCUCAACCCAGGAAGUGCACUUGAAACUGCCUUGCUUGAGUACGGGAGAGGAAAGCGGAAUUCCUGGUGUAGAGGUGAAAUUCGUAGAUAUCAGGAGGAACACCGGUGGCGAAGGCGGCUUUCUGGCCCAAUACUGACGCUGAGACGCGAAAGCGUGGGGAGCAAACAGGCUUAGAUACCCCGGUAGUC
rnacentral:rRNA from 1 species